AUUGAACGCUGGCGGCAUGCUUUACACAUGCAAGUCGAACGGCAGCGAGGAGAAGCUUGCUUCUCUGUCGGCGAGUGGCGAACGGGUGAGUAUAGCAUCGGAACGUGCCAAGUAGUGGGGGAUAACCAAACGAAAGUUUGGCUAAUACCGCGUAAGCUCUAAGGCGGAAAGUAGGGGACCUAAAUAAGGCCUUACGCUAUUUGAUCGGCCGAUGUCGGAUUAGCUAGUUGGUGGGGUAAUGGCUCACCAAGGCAAUGAUCCGUAGCGGGUCUGAGAGGACGAUCCGCCACACUGGGACUGAGACACGGCCCAGACUCCUACGGGAGGCAGCAGUGGGGAAUUUUGGACAAUGGGGGAAACCCUGAUCCAGCCAUGCCGCGUGUAUGAAGAAGGCCUUAGGGUUGUAAAGUACUUUUGUUAGGGAAGAAAAGCUAGUUUUUAAUAAAAAUUAGUGAUGACGGUACCUAAAGAAUAAGCACCGGCUAACUACGUG
rnacentral:rRNA from 1 species